UACGUAGGGGGCAAGCGUUGUCCGGAAUCAUUGGGCGUAAAGAGCGUGUAGGCGGCCAGGUAGGUCUGCUGUGAAAACUCGAGGCUCAACCUCGAGACGUCGACGGAAACCCUCUGGCUAGAGUUCGGGAGAGGAGAGUGGAAUUCCCGGUGUAGCGGUGAAAUGCGCAGAUAUCGGGAAGAACACCCGUGGCGAAGGCGGCUCUCUGGAACGAUACUGACGCUGAGACGCGAAAGCGUGGGGAGCGAACAGG
rnacentral:rRNA from 1 species